UACGGAGGAUCCGAGCGUUAUCCGGAUUUAUUGGGGUUAAAGGGUGCGUAGGCGGCCUAUUAAGUCAGGGGUGAAAGACGGUAGCUUAACUAUCGCAGUGCCUUUGAUACUGAUGGGCUUGAAUAUACUUGAGGUAGGCGGAAUGUGACAAGUAGCGGUGAAAUGCAUAGAUAUGUCACAGAACACCAAUUGCGAAGGCAGCUUACUAAAGUAUGAUUGACGCUGAGGCACGAAAGCGUGGGGAUCAAACAGG
rnacentral:rRNA from 1 species